UACGUAGGGUGCGAGCGUUGUCCGGAAUUACUGGGCGUAAAGAGCUCGUAGGUGGUUUGUCGCGUUGUUCGUGAAAACUCACAGCUUAACUGUGGGCGUGCGGGCGAUACGGGCAGACUGGAGUACUGCAGGGGAGACUGGAAUUCCUGGUGUAGCGGUGGAAUGCGCAGAUAUCAGGAGGAGCACCGGUGGCGAAGGCGGGUCUCUGGGCAGUAACUGACGCUGAGGAGCGAAAGCGUGGGGAGCGAAACAGG
rnacentral:rRNA from 1 species